CCAGAAAGAAAGAGUGUCAAGAAUGGACGUGGCAUCAGUCUAGCUUGUUUUCUAGCAAAUGGGGCCUGGGAAAGGUGGAAAGGACAGUAAAGGAGAGAGCUUAUGCAUACACUGCCUGACAACUUGCCCUGGAGAUCAGUUUCCCCGGAAGGAAGCUUUGCAGAAGUUCUGACACCGCAGUUUCCCAAAGAUUGUGCGCGUGCUUUUUUCCCAGAUUUUCAAGGAGGAUGGGGAACUGCUCCUAUGUAAAGCACUGCCUAUUUGAAGGAUGAUUUUUAUACUAUCACAAAGUCUUACGGAAUCCAGAGGGAAUGACCAACCCCAAAAUCUCAGU
rnacentral:lncRNA from 1 species